GUAGUCUCGCACAGAUGCAUAUCAAUAAGCGGAGAAAAAGAAACUAACAAGGAUUCCCCUAGUAACGGCGAGUGAAGCGGGAAGAGCUCAAAUUUGAAAUCUUAAAGGGUUUCCCUUUACGAAUUGUAGUUUAAAGAAGUGUUUUCUGUUGAGGUUUUGGUAAAAGUUCUUUGGAAUAGGACAUCAUAGAGGGUGAGAAUCCCGUAUUUGACCUUUACUUUCAACUUUGUGAUACACUUUCAAAGAGUCGGAUUGUUUGGGAAUGCAGUCCAAAAUGGGUGGUAAAUUUCAUCUAAAGCUAAAUAUUGGCGAGAGACCGAUAGCGAACAAGUACCGUGAGGGAAAGAUGAAAAGAACUUUGAAAAGAGAGUUAAACAGUACGUGAAAUUGUCAAAAGGGAAGCGUUUGACACCAGUGUUGUUUUUCUGAAAAUCAAUUAAAGAACUGUUUAGUGCUAAGUUGUUUAGACUUUAUCAGCUAUCUGUUUAGUUUUGAGCUUUUCUUUAAUGCACUUUUCAGUUAACAAGUCAACAUCAAUUUCUUUUGCUGUAAAAAAGCUUGAGGAAGGUGGCUUGAGAUUCGUCUUAAGUGUUUAUAGCCUCUUGCCUAUGCAGUCGGAGAGAUUGAGGUCUGCAGCGUAGAUCCUUCGGGGCUAAAUGCAUUUGUGCUAAGUUAUAGCAUUUCAUAGACAACUUGUUGACUAUGAUUUGUCUUGUAGCUUACUCGCUUAUGUUAUUUUACCUACGCUUAGGAUGUUGAUCUGUAGUGCGUGCGC
rnacentral:rRNA from 1 species